GCGGAGCGUCGUUUGCGACGCCCAACACACAAAACAAGCGGUGAGUGCUUUGGGGUGGGGUGACUGCGUACCUUUUGUAUAAUGGGUCAGCGACUUAUAUUCUGUAGCAAGGUUAACCGAAUAGGGGAGCCGGAGGGAAACCGAGUCUUAAUUGGGCGUUAAGUUGCAGGGUAUAGACCCGAAACCCGGUGAUCUAGCCAUGGGCAGGUUGAAGGUUGGGUAACACUAACUGGAGGACCGAACCGACUAAUGUUGAAAAAUUAGCGGAUGACCUGUGGCUGGGGGUGAAAGGCCAAUCAAACCGGGAGAUAGCUGGUUCUCCCCGAAAGCUAUUUAGGUAGCGCCUCGUGAAUUCAUCUCCGGGGGUAGAGCACUGUUUCGGCUAGGGGGCCAUCCCGGCUUACCAACCCGAUGCAAACUGCGAAUACCGGAGAAUGUUAUCACGGGAGACACACGGCGGGUGCUAACGUCCGUCGUGAAGAGGGAAACAACCCAGACCGCCAGCUAAGGUCCCAAAGUCAUGGUUAAGUGGGAAACGAUGUGGGAAGGCCCAGACAGCCAGGAUGUUGGCUUAGAAGCAGCCAUCAUUUAAAGAAAGCGUAAUAGCUCACUGGUCGAGUCGGCCUGCGCGGAAGAUGUAACGGGGCUAAACCAU
rnacentral:rRNA from 1 species